rnacentral:rRNA from 1 species
GACGAACCGAGCGAACGUUAUUCGGAAUCACUGGGCUUAAAAGGGCGCGUAGGCGGGCCGUCAAGUCAGGGGUGAAAGCCCCCGGCUCAACUGGGGAGGGUCACGCGAUACUGUUCGACUCGAAGGCAGGAGAGGGAAGUGGAAUUCCCGGUGUAGUGGUGAAAUGCGUAGAUAUCGGGAGGAACACCAGUGGCGAAGGCGACUUCCUGGCCUGGUUCUUGACGCUGAGGCGCGAAAAGCUAGGGUA